rnacentral:tRNA from 1 species
GGUCUAUUAGUCUAGUUGGUUAGGACGUCGGAUUCUGAUUUCACAAUCACAUCCUUCCGUAGGCCCAGGUUCGAAUCCUGGAUGGACCU